rnacentral:tRNA from 1 species
GGGGUUGUGGCUCAAUGGUAGAGCACUUGCCUGGCAUGUGUGAGGCAUUGGGUUCAAUUCUCAGCACCA